rnacentral:rRNA from 1 species
AGUGGGUUUCACCAGAAGCAGGUAGUCCAACCGUAAGGAGGGCGCUUGCCAUGGUGAGAUUCAUGACUGGGGUGAAGUCGUAACAAGGUAGCCGUAGGUGAACCUGCAGAAGGAUCA